AAAAGUAAAUUUUUUUUGGGUGCAAAGUAUCACAUGGAAUUCAAUUUUUUUUUAAUAAACGUACAAAUGAAGUGAUGAACCAAAAAAAAAGGGAAGAGGAAAGCAAGUAAAAUGGAUUGAACCCCGAGUAAUAUUUUACAUUUAUUCAUUCACCUUUUUUGAUUCUUCAAUACUUCAUGGUUUCGUAGAUUUUUGCUGGCUUACUGCAAAUAGUAGGAAAAGAAAGAAACAAGGGUGGCUCCAACCAAGGACCCAAGAACAGGCAUUGUUGAGGUUGCGACGUUGGAGUCUGGGCCUGGGGCAGCUGCUGAAGCUGAAGCUGAAGCUGCACCUGGAGCUGAAGCUGGAGCUGGAGCUGGAGCGGAGCCAGCAGCCAGGACCGCGCUCAUAGAGGCGGCAGCGACAAUGACGGCGCAGGAGAUCUUCUUCAUGUCCAUGGUAUUGAAGAAUAGGCUUAGUGAGAGUCGAGAGACCUUCUGCGAGAUGGAAAACAAAAUUUAUUAAUUUUGUUUUCUUUAUAUGUUUAUAUGUUAUUGUUCUUCACGCAGGUCUGAAGAACAAGGAUGAAGGUGAGGUGCAUUUUAUACGGGAAAUUCAUGUCUAUUUUAAGCAACAACUGGUUUCUCAUUAGCUUAAAAAUAGGCUUAUGUGUGGUUUUGCAUGUUUUGAGGAUUGAUAUUGACAUGCAUCAUCUUUAAAAAGUUAAAUUUUUAAUUUUCAAUUAAACCCUUACAUGAAACCAAAUGGGAAUUUACUUAAAUACCUUUUUUUUUAUAAAUAUAUAAAAAUAUAUAUUAUAAGUUAUGUCUUCUUUAUUUUUAGUUACAAAAGAAGUUAACUAUUGGUUCUACUAAACUUGUUCGAAAAGUAUGAGAGUUUGAGUAAGAAUAUAAACUCAAAAAAUAGAUUUGGACAAUAAAAAAAAGACCCGUUUAGAAAAUAGGCUGAACCUUAGGUAAGGUUUUUUAGCCUGAGCUCAACUCGACCCGAUCUAUGGAGACCUCUAAUUCCCACUUGUGCAUAUUGAAUAUAUUGAAUUGAAACGGUACGAUGAUAUAAUGAAUUGUUACAUUGAAUGGAUAAAUAAUGGAAACUAUGAAGCAUGAUGUUAUAUUGACAUUUAAGAAAUGGUGUGAUUGAUAUUUAAGGCUCCAUUUGUUUUACUGAAAAAAAAUGAUUUACUUUUUUUGAAAAGUUAAUAUUUUUUGGUGUUUGGAUAAAUCUGUGUAAAUUAUUUUCUUUUAUUUGACAGAUUUUUUAAAAAUAUUUUAUAUUUUAUAUUUUUUUUACAUAUAUUAAAAAUAUUUUGUUAAAUUCAGGUUCAUUAUAACCUCAUUUUUUAGUUGCAUGAUUACCAAGUGAGCAUUUUUUAUUUAAAAAUGUGAUAUCAACAAAAUUGACAAAAAAAUUAACAAUGUCAACAAUUGGACUUGAUUUUCAAAUAUGAAAAGAACAGAGGCUAAAUUCUUGAAAAUAAAAGUACAAAGACUAAAUUGCAAAUUUGUAAAGAGUACAUAGAGACUUAUGACAUAUUUUAACCUUUAUACUACAAAAUAUUUAUUAUUAAUAUAUUUAUAAUUGUAAUAAAUAUUUAUUAUUAAAAUAUUAAUAUUGAAUAUUUUCAAUAAUAUGUGAUGAAUAUUAUCUAAAAUUAUUAUUUUUAAAAUUUAUUAUUAAAUAAAAGUGAAAUAUUUAUUAAAAUAAUAAAUUAUAUUAAUUAUAUUAAUAAUUUAUUAUAUGACUAAAUAUAAAUAAUUAAAUAGGUAUGUUUAAUUAUAUUGAAAAAUAUAAUAUUUUAUAUUAAUAUUUUAAUAUUUUUAAAAAUAAAAAUAAAAAUUCUUAUUAAUAUAAGAAUAUUAAGCUUGAUUUAAGUUAAUUUUUUAUAUAAAAAUAAAAUUAUUUAUAGAGGAGCUCUUUUCCGAAAAAUAACUUGCGCUUUUCAAAAGGGUAAGUCAUUUUACAAGAAAAAUGACUUAUUUUCCGUUGACCAAACUAUUUUUUGUGAAACAAACACAAAAAAAUGUAGAAAACAUUUUCCGUAAAGCCUUUUACAUGUAAAUAAAUGGACCCUAAGUUAAAUUUGUAUUAUGUGCAAUUUGAUUGAACUUAAGUAUGAUAUUUGAAUUAUGAAAUUGAAUAUUGUGCCAUGUGUGCAUAUGUGUAACCAGUUUUUGAAAAUUCUCUAGUAAACCACUAUGAAUAAAUUUGGAUAUAAUUGGUAUGCUAACAAAACUUUAGUAGCAUUGUGUAUUAUAGUAUACUGAUAAAGCAAGAGAUUGAUGUUUACAUAUUUGCUUUAUUGCACUAUAUGCAUAAUUGGUGUGAUGGAGGACAUAUGAUUCAUGUUAUAUAUGUUAAUUGGUGUGAUGGAGGACUAUGUUUAAUCACAUGAGCCAUUGGUGUGAUGGAUGAAUUAUUUUGAAUAUCUAGAUUAACCCUUUUCUUACAUAUAAUGGUGAACAUGAUAAAUGUUAUACUUCCUAUCUAGAAGAGACACAUGAGACCACAAGAAGACAUAUAUGGAAUGAUCCUUCGUUUAUUUCCCGACCUAUACAAUACUUGGUAUAUUCUCCACCUAAGUGCUUGAACAGUUCUCUACCGCUCAAUUGGUUACUAGUGGAUCAAUCACUCAAGCAUCUUGUGAUAUCCCGAAUUAGGGCCUAAACGGAAUAGUAGUUUUGAAACCAUAAUUCUGAAGUAGAAAAAUUUAUUUCGAUUAAUUUUUAUAAUUUAUUGAGUGAUUAGAUGCAUGUGUUAGAAUAUCGAUAGAAAAUUUCAUGAAUUGCAUGUCUAAUUUGCCUAUUAGGACUUAAUUGCAAAAGUUAAUAAAUAUGAGCUUUAGAUGUUAAAGGAUUUAAUUCAAGAGCAUAAUUGAAGUAGAGGUCCUUAAAUGGAAUUAUACCAUUAGGUUUUCAUGGACAAAAGUGGACAUACAUAGGUAGAAAUAACCAAAGUUUUUAAUGAAGGGUAUUUUAGUCAUUUGAUAAUUAAAAGAUUAAAAAAAGGAAAAAGAUGGCAAAAUAUGUCCAUCUUCUUCAUUAGGACGAAAUUUCAAGGGUUCUCCAUAUUUAGGGUUUGUUUCAAGCUUCCAAUCUCCAUAGUAAGUGAUUCCAAGCCCCGUUUUUAAUGUUCUUUACGUUUUGGAGUCCCGGUAACUUGAUUUAGCUUAUUCUAGCAAUAAUUUAACCUAGGGUUUAUAUUUGGAAAAAUAUAUAUAGGUGAAAUGUGUUUAUUUUAAUGUUUUAUGGUAGAAUAUGAAGCUUUAAAUUGUGUUAAAUAACUUUUGCUAAACGAUUUUACGUGAAAAUGAGUAAAAUGACAUAAUCGGUAAAAAUACCUAAUGUUUAUAACUACAUGUUAGAGUGAGAAUUUGAUGUUUCCAUAGAAGAAAAAAAUGAUCAGCAUGUCAUAAAACAUAAUAAUUUUGGAAAAAAAAUUAAUUUUUUAGCUUCGGGGGCAAAAGUGUAAAUAUGCAAAAGUUUAGGGGCAAAAUCGUAAUUUUUCCAAACUUAGAGUUAAGGACUAUUUUGAUAAAUGUGAGUAUUAAAUCAGCUAAAUGUGUUAUUUUAGAUCAAGAAAGACGUGGAAUCGACCUUGAUCGGGGAAAGGAAAAGAUUGUGGACUAAAUUGCAAAAUUUCUUUAUUUUGUACCGAGGUAAGUUCAGGUGUAAAUGUAGUAACAUAAUUGUCAUUUUAAGUAAUUUAAUGUUAUUUAUAUGAUAUGAUGAUUAAUAUCAUGAAAUAUUAUGCUUUGUGGUUAUUAUUGAGUAAUAUGCAAAUUAUGUGUGCUACUUGUUGAAUAUGAAUUGCUACCGAGUAUCGGUUUCGAUAUUCUGUGGAAGACGGCAAAGAUGUGUGAUCGAGGAAAAAGCCUAUUUGAACCUUGGGAAUAGAUUAGAAUACAAGUGACAUGUCACUAGGAUAUUUGAGUUCCGAGCUCGUUGAGUUGAGUUCGAGUUCGUGAGAUGUAACUAGGCAUCCGAACUCGUUGAGUUGAGUCCGUGUUCACUUAUGGAUGCGAACGCCCGAGCUCGUUGAGUUGAGUCCGAGUUCACUUAUGGGUGGGUUACAUGGUAGCUUGACUAUAUAAUUUCCGCAGGCUAUUGAGUUUGUCUAGCUACGGGUAUGGCACUUAUGUGCAUGAAAUCCGUGUAUUCGAAUCAUAUUCCGAUGUGUUCAACGGGUAAAUUUUAAGUGGAUAAGGUGAGUACCUAAAACGAAAGUGACAUGUUGGUAAGUGUGGUGAAUGAGAAAAUUUGUACAGGUAUGUACUUUAACCCUCGGGUUGAGACUUCAAUAUAACAAUAAUAUGGUAGGAUCAUGAAUGAGAAAUAUGAUAUGAAUGCUUUGGUGAUAUUAUGCAAAUGUGGAUUUUGUAUUAUUGCAUAGUUAUGUUACUUGCUAUUUACAUGUGAACUUACUAAGCAAUUAUGCUUACUCCCUCCUCUCUAUUCUUUGUAGUUUUGUCAAGCCGGCUAGGAGAUCGGGAACGGUCGGAGGCGCGCUCACACUAUCAACAAACUAUUUCGGUAUAAUGACUUGUAUAUUUUGAGAAUAUGGCAUGUAUAGCAUUAUAAUCAUUUUGUGUAUAUAAUAUUAUGAUAUGGCUCAUGGAUGGCAUGGAAAUUUUUGAGAAUGAUUAGCUAUUGGAGUGGCUAAUCAAGAUUAUAUUUGAUAACACGUAUGCUUUAUGUGCUAACUAAUCUAUGGAAAUCCAUAAAAUAAAAUAGAAUCACAUAGCAGUAGUGACGUGAGUUUGAAAAAUUACUAAAAAUAGUAGAGAUAGAAUUAGAUGAUGAAUAAAAUAUGGAAUUGAAGCUUAAUGAAUCUAUUUUCAUGUGGAAGAAACAAAAUAGGUAAAAGAGUUAUAUUUUAUGAGAUAUUUACGUUUUUGUGAAACAGGGUCAGAGCAAUUUCUGGAUUCCCUGUUCUGACUUUAUAAAUUCAUCAUAAAUUGUGUAAAAAUAAUUAGGACUCAAAAUUUAUAUGUAUGGAUUCCUUAUUGAGUCUAUUUUUAAGAGAAACAAACUAAAUGGUCAUUGGAUCUCUGUACAGGAAGAAAUUUGAUUCGUAGUGCACAUGGGUUAGAGUAGCCGAACCCUGAAACAGGGGAGAAUUUAACUAAUAAACUGUACUAAUUGGCCUUGCCAAAAAUUCUAUAAAAAACUUAGUAAGUAGAUAUAUGAGUCUAGUUUCAGGAAAAAUUUACGAAAUUUGAUUUCUAGUUUCCUAACUCGAGAUAUGAUUUUUUUAGCGACUGUGAUACAGAUGGACAGUUUACUACGAGAAUUGUUUGAACUUGUUUAAAUGCUAAAAUAAGUUUAGUAAUGUCUCAUGUUCAACUCCGGCAACAGUCUCAGGUAAGGGGGCUUACACUUCUCAUCCUCCAGGUUACCCUCUUUUAGCUGGUGUUGCUCACCUCCAAAGUAUUAGACAUAACAACCUCAUACAGUCAAGGGAAUAUCAAAACAGUACCAUGCACGAGGGAAACCCACGCACAACAGCCUUGCCACCUGAUGAUCAUCAUGUCCUAGAUUUGUUGGUGACGUGAACUCACUGGGAACGAGACCUCCUCCCUAUAAAUACCUUGUAGAAAAAUGAAGGAUCGAUCCUUUAGCCUUUCAACAACCUUAAGCACUCUUUAACACUCAAUCCCCUUUGCUACCUCCUCCUCACUUACUUCCUUUAUUCGGCUCUUCGCCUAUUUAGACGAACUAGUUUUCCUUGCACCAUCACAUUCUCCUCCUUACCUCCUCCCUUAUUGACACUAUCAACAAUAACAUAUGUCUUAUAUUUACUUGAUUGCAUAAUAGGGUAAUUUAGAGUUUUCUUGAGCACCAUUAAGCCUAUAUGUAUGCUUAACGUAUGGAAUUCAAAUUUUUUGCGCAUGUUUCAAUUGAUACGAGACAAGAACCUCCAAGUUGCAUAAGAGAUUAAACCACUAUUUUUGUGUAAUUGUUUAAGAUUACUUGAUUAUAAUUUGGAUGUGUGUAUUGUAGAAACUCUAUUAUGACAUAUACUUAAGUUAGCAAGUGUUAAGAACCUUUCUUGGUUGUGUUAUGACUUAAAAGUAUUGUAUAUCAUGAGCUAAGUGGUAAUUUAGGUAUAUUUAAGCUUAUGAAAUUGCUCUUAAAAUGAAUGAAUGCAUGUGAAAUCAUGACAAAUGAAGUGCAUUUGGAUAUAAUGCAUGUCAUGUAAACUGUUGAUUUGGAGGUGUUACGCUAAUUAAAAGAAAAUAAAGAUGAUUUAAUUUAAUUUUUAAGUUGCUUUACUUUUAGGUACCGAUACUUAAUAUAUGGGUAUUGAUAUAAGAUGAGAUGGUAAUUAAACAGAUUUUGUAUAGGGGCAGUGUAUAGAUAUCAUAUCCCUUGGUAUCAUACCAUCUUACUUAAGCUACUAAUUCCAUCCCUAAUACUAAUAGGUAUAAUGAUUUAUUUAGCCUUCUAAUUUUAUAAAAAAAGUCUUUUUAAGCCUCUAUUUAAAUUUUAAUAAAAAAUAUUUUAGUCAUAAAAUGAGUUGAAACAAAAUGAAAACAAAAUACUUUUUAAAUAUCACCUGACUCCUUCAAUAUAUAUAGUGUAAUCAAAUUGAUUACUACCUUAAGCAUCGAAUCACGAUCAAUUCUUUUUUCAAAUCCUAUUGUGGCUCCGCAAGCUCUUCCCGUGUGCGAUAAAUAACCCACGAACAAAAACUUUAUCGUUCACUCUCUUAAACACUUUUUUUCUUUGAGAUUUUACUUUUAAAAUGAUUAUGUGGUAAUGUUUUGCUUUCUUUUAAAAUUUUCAUUUUAAAUUACACCACUUAAUAUUUGACAUUAAAUAUUUUAAUAAUGAAAGAACUAAAUUGAUAUCAAUUUUGAUAAUUUGAGGAUGUAAUUAGAACAUUUUAAUAAUUAAAAAUUAAUUUAAAAUAAGAGUUAUAGUUUGGAGAUAUUUAAAAUAUAUAAUUUUUUUUUUUCAAUUGCAAAGUAUCACAUGGAAUUCAACUUUUUUUUAUGAACGUACAAAUGAAGUGAUGAACAAAAAAAAGAAGAAAAGCAGGUAAAAAUGGAUUGAACCCCGAGUAAUAUUUUACAUUUAUUAAUCCCCCAUUUUUUAUUCUUCAACACUUCAUGCUUUCGUGUAUUCUUGCUGGCUUACUGCAAAUAGUAGGCAAAGAAAGAAACAAGGGUGGCUCCAACCAAGGACCCAAGAACAGGCAUUGUUGAGAUUGCGACGCUGGAGUCUGGGCCUGGGGCAGCUGCUGAAGCUGAAGCUGCACCUGGAGCUGAAGCUGGAGCUGGAGAUGGAGCGCCAGCAGCCAUGACUU
rnacentral:lncRNA from 1 species